ACCACCAUGUUGAAACACCGGUUCUUUUUACGAUCACUGAAGUUAAGCACGUCGAGUCUGGUGUUGUACCUAGAUGGGUGACCGCUUAGCAAUAUCAGGUUCUGUAA